ensembl:lncRNA
AUUUUCUCAUUGGAAAUCCCCCAUUUAACCAAAAAUCACGCGUUUUCUCUUUGCAAAUCCCCCAUUUAAGCGAAAAUCACGCGUUUUCUCUUUGCAAAUCCCCCAUUUAAGCGAAAAUCACGCGUUUUCUCUUCGCAAAUCCCCCAUUUAAGCGAAAAUCACGCGUUUUCUCUUCAGAAAUCCCACAUUUAAGCGAAAAUCACGCGUUUUCUCUUCGAGAAUCCAACAUUUAACCCGAAAAUCAUGCGUUUUCUCUUCGCAAAUCCCCCAUUUAACCCGAAAAUCUCGCGUUUUCUCUUUGCAAAUCCCGCAUUCAACCGAAAAUCACGCAUUUUCUCUUCGCAAAUCCCCCAUUUAAGUGAAAAUCACGCGUUUUCUCUUCGCAAAUCCCCCAUUUAUCCGAAAAUCACGCGUUUUCUCUAAGCCAAUCCCGCACUUAACCCGAAAAUCACGUGUUUUCUCUUUGCAAAUCCCCCAUUUAAGCGAAAAUCUCGCGUUUUCUCUUCGCAAAUCCCCCAUUUAAGCGAAAAUCACGCGUUUUCUCUUCGCAAAUCCCCCAUUUAAGCGAAAAUCACGCGUUUUCUCUUCGAGAAAUCAACAUUUAACGAAAAUCACGCGUUUUCUCAAAUCCCCCAUUUAAACAAAAAUCACACGUUUUCUCUUCGCAAAAAACACAUUUAUGCGAAAUCACGUUUUCUCUUCGAGAAUCCUCCAUUUAACCGAAAAUCACGCGUUUUCUCUUAGCCAAUCCCCCAUUUAAGCGAAAAUCAUGCAUUUUCUCAUUGGAAAUCCCCCAUUUAACCGAAAAUCACGCGUUUUCUCUUUGCAAAUCCCCAUUUAAGCGAAAAUCACGCGUUUUCUCUUAGCAAAUCCCCCAUUUAAGCGAAAAUCACGCGUUUUCUCUUCGCAAAUCCCCCAUUUAACCGAAAAUCACGCGUUUUCUCUUCGAAAUCCCCCAUUUAAGCGAAAAUCACGCGUUUUCUCUUCGCAAAUCCCCCAUUUAACCCGAAAAUCACGCGUUUUCUCUUCGCAAAUCCCCCAUUUAACCGAAAAUCACGCGUUUUCUCUUCGCAAAUCCCCCAUUUAACCGAAAAUCACGCGUUUUCUCUUCGCAAAUCCCCAUUUAAGCGAAAAUCAC